GCCGAUAGGACUAAUAAUGCACCUAAACCAGUUGCCACGUAAAGAAAACCACCGCAACUACCUUCCAGACCGGCUGCAACCUUAUUAUAGCCGCAACAUUAACGGAUAGAGCAUAAUUAAUAAUUCAACAAUAGAGAAGAGGAUGUCAUCAAUUGACGUUGCUAACUUACAAGGUACCAGCAAAACCGGCAGCUUUGUGUCUAAGCAAUGUGGGCUCAGGUGGACGACACAUGAGGAUCAAUUCUUGAUCGGCUAGCAUUACGACCCCAGGGAAUGCCGGAAACCAUAUCCGACACCGCAUCGUGAAAAAUCCGUUACUUUGAGAAAGUAGUUGUCUUCUUGAGGAUCGUUAGGAUCCGGUCUAAUCUGGCA